AAAUUGAAGAGUUUGAUCAUGGCUCAGAUUGAACGCUGGCGGCAGGCCUAACACAUGCAAGUCGAACGGUAACAGGAAGCAGCUUGCUGCUUCGCUGACGAGUGGCGGACGGGUGAGUAAUGUCUGGGAAACUGCCUGAUGGAGGGGGAUAACUACUGGAAACGGUGGCUAAUACCGCAUAACGUCGCAAGACCAAAGAGGGGGACCUUCGGGCCUCUUGCCAUCAGAUGUGCCCAGAUGGGAUUAGCUGGUUGGUGAGGUAACGGCUCACCAAGGCGACGAUCCCUAGCUGGUCUGAGAGGAUGACCAGCCACACUGGAACUGAGACACGGUCCAGACUCCUACGGGAGGCAGCAGUGGGGAAUAUUGCACAAUGGGCGCAAGCCUGAUGCAGCCAUGCCGCGUGUAUGAAGAAGGCCUUCGGGUUGUAAAGUACUUUCAGCGGGGAGGAAGGUGUUGUGGUUAAUAACUGCAGCAAUUGACGUUACCCGCAGAAGAAGCACCGGCUAACUCCGUGCCAGCAGCCGCGGUAAUACGGAGGGUGCAAGCGUUAAUCGGAAUUACUGGG
rnacentral:rRNA from 1 species